AUUUUCAUAUUGCAAGUAUUACAAUUUUGAAAUUAAUGACGAAUAGAGUUGAUAAAUGAAUUAUUCCCUUUUACGAAAUUGCACACAAACAGUGCAUUUAAUGGAACAUGAAUCUUCCGACGUAGCUACUGAUUGAUUUCAAAAUAAAAACCUAUGAAUCCAUUUUGGCGAUAAAUGGAAGCAGUUUUCUGGACGACGGCAACUCUGUAACAAUAAUGGAAUAUCAAAGUUUUUUCAACCUACGUCAUGGCUUUCAAUUCCUGUAUUUUUUUAUAAUUAGUUGGAAUGAUCAACUUAAAACCAAGCUCUUUCGCGUGUAACGACAGCGUUACUGCUCUAAUUUUUCCAUCAUUUUGGAAACUGAUACGUUUGACUAAAAUAGCUCUCUCAUUGAGAUAUACAUUGCCAGCAUACGUACAAAUAGUUGCAAAACUUACGAAUGCUUAUUUUGUAUGGAAGACUUAGCUAACAUAAGCUGCCAUCGAUUGGUCAAUUCUCUGCUCGCUAUCUUUGGGUGAUGGUCGCUUGUCAAAAAUUUUACAUAUGAAAGCAACAACAAAGUUAUCUAGUUGAAUUCGUGCAGGAGAGUAUGCGAAUACCUCAUUGAAAAAGCUAUCGCCGCUUGCUUAGUGCUUCCAAGUUUUGUUUUACACAUUUUAGAACCAUUUUACUAUUGUGAACCGCUCAGAUGACAAAUUACUGUUAAAAUAAUAAAAAUUGUUAUACACAAAUGGCAGGCGAAGAUAAAUCAAAACGUUAGACAAGCACGGUGGUAGAAGAGUUCGGUGCGAUCAAUUAUAGACAAUUCGAUUUCAGUACUGCCAGUUCGUAUGAAAUUCCGGAAAGUUUGUUCGGUUGGCUUGUCUAUAACAGUUAGCAGUUAUCGAUGACAGCUUUAAUUAUGUUGGCUUGUCAUUAGUUACCAUAGCCUAUAUAUUGAACUAGAGGCAUUGCCAGUUUAGCGUUUUUUCAUUCACAAUAGGUUUUUUACAAAAAUAGUAGUACGCACUAGCUUGAAACCUUAUUUUGACAGAUGUAAAUGUAAACAAACUACAAUUUUUAAUUCUAUCGAUGAGCAAAAUGGCAAAUAAAAACUUUAUCUUUAUCACUUUCAUGUCCAAUGUUUUUCAAUUAUGUAGACUUAUGUGUUGUGCAACAAUACAGUUACAUUUUAUGUUAUGAGCUAUGCACGUAUUCAUUCAGUAUGCGUUCUUCGCAGGUGGAAUUGUUAAAAUCGGUUUCGCGAAAAAAAAGUUAUACUAAAAUGAUUAUACAAAAGUUUUCAAAAACAUAAAAUUAAUUGUUUUAUUUUAAAACAAACUGAAC